rnacentral:rRNA from 1 species
CAGUGGGGAAUUUUGUACAAUGGGGGCAACCCUGAUCCAGCCAUKCCGCGUGAGUGAAGAAGGCCUUCGGGUUGUAAAGCUCUUUCGCUAGAGAAGAAAACUUGCUAUCUARUAAAUAGUAAGUAUGACGGUAUCUUGACAAGAAGCACCGGCUAAC